UACGUAGGGUGCGAGCGUUAAUCGGAAUUACUGGGCGUAAAGCGCACGUAGGCGGCUUUCUAAGUCGGGGGUGAAAUCCUGGAGCUCAACUCCAGAACUGCCCUUCGAUACUGGAGAGCUCGAGUCCGGGAGAGGUGAGUGGAACUGCGAGUGUAGAGGUGAAAUUCGGUAGAUAUUCGCAAGAACACCAGUGGCGAAAGGGCGGCUC
rnacentral:rRNA from 1 species